rnacentral:rRNA from 1 species
CUUACCUACGGGGCGCAGCAGUGAGGAAUAUUGGUCAAUGGGCGGAAGCCUGAACCAGCCAAGUCGCGUGAGGGAAUAAGGCCCUACGGGUCGUAAACCUCUUUUGCCGGGGAGCAAGGGCCGGGACGCGUCCCGGCCCGGAGAGUACCCGGAGAAAAAGCAUCGGCUAACUCCGUGCCAGCAGCCGCGGUAAUACGGAGGAUGCGAGCGUUAUCCGGAUUUAUUGGGUUUAAAGGGAGCGUAGGCGGGCGUUUAAGUC